rnacentral:rRNA from 1 species
CGCGAUUCGCCCUUCGGGGUGCAGCAGGCGCGAAAACUUUACAAUGCGGGAAACCGUGAUAAGGGGACACCGAGUGCCAGCAUCAUAUGCUGGCUGUCCAGGUGUGUAAAAUACACCUGUUAGCAAGGGCCGGGCAAGACCGGUGCCAGCCGCCGCGGUAACACCGGCGGCCCGAGUGGUGAUCGUGAUUAUUGGGUCUAAAGGGUCCGUAGCCGGUUUGGUCAGUCCUCCGGGAAAUCUGAUAGCUUAACUAUUAGGCUUUCGGAGGAUACUGCCAGACUUGGAACCGGGAGAGGUAAGAGGUACUACAGGGGUAGGAGUGAAAUCUUGUAAUCCCUGUGGGACCACCUGUGGCGAAGGCGUCUUACCAGAACGGGUUCGACGGUGAGGGACGAAAGCUGGGGGCACGAACCGGAUUAGAUACCCGGGUAGUCCUAGCCGUAAACGAUACUCGCUAGGUGUCGGCCACGGUGCGACCGUGGUCGGUGCCGUAGGGAAGCCGUGAAGCGAGCCACCUGGGAAGUACGGCCGCAAGGCUGAAACUUAAAGGAAUUGGCGGGGGAGCAC